UACAGAGGGGGCAAGCGUUGUUCGGAAUUACUGGGCGUAAAGGGCGCGUAGGCGGCCUUCUAAGUCGAACGUGAAAUCCCCGGGCUCAACCCGGGAGCUGCGUCCGAUACUGGAAGGCUUGAAUCCGGGAGAGGGAUGCGGAAUUCCAGGUGUAGCGGUGAAAUGCGUAGAUAUCUGGAGGAACACCGGUGGCGAAGGCGGCAUCCUGGACCGGUAUUGACGCUGAGGCGCGAAAGCCAGGGGAGCAAACGGG
rnacentral:rRNA from 1 species